UACAGAGGUGGCAAACGUUGUCCGGAAUUACUGGGUGUAAAGGGUCCGCAGGCGGCCCUGUAAGUCAAAGGUGAAAUGUCCCGGCUCAACCGGGUCACUGCCUUUGAAACUGCAGGGCUUGAGUACGGUAGAGGAGAGUGGAAUUCCCAGUGUAGCGGUGAAAUGCGUAGAUAUUGGGAGGAACACCAGUGGCGAAGGCGGCUCUCUGGACCGAUACUGACGCUCAGGGACGAAAGCCAGGGGAGCGAACGGG
rnacentral:rRNA from 1 species